GCCUUCGUGGAUCACGGUGAUCGCCCCGUCCGUGUGGAGAUAUAAGUUGGAAGCAUCCAGCGGGGAGGCGGAGGUUCGAUUCCUCCCGAAGGCA